GAAACUAUUUUUAAAAUUUUUAAUUUUUGAUUUUUCUUUUGUAAAAAUUUAAACCUCAAUCCGGCAGAUAUGUUGUCUGGCUCAUCCAUGGACUCUUCUCUUAUCCUGUUCUACAGCCCCUCGCUCGCUACUUCUGAAACCAGAGAAUCAUCAGACCUCUCCUCAUUACCUCUAAAUUUGUGUUAUGUCUCCACGUUCCUCUAUGUAGGCUUCUGGUUUACAAAUUAGGGAUUGGUUUUCUCGGAGGAGCCUUGGCUAAGGGUUUGUCAAGCUGGCUUUGUGCCGUUCUUGGAUCUAUCAUGUGGUUCUCCUCUUCAUGUUUUGAGACAAGUGCUCCCUUCUAUGGUGGAGAUAUUUAAUGGUGUUGGAGAGUUCUUCUGAUGUGCUCUUCUUUCUAGCACUAUGGUUUGGUAUUUCUCUUUUCAAUGUGCCUUUUAGAUUCUCGAUGCCACCACGUUGUUUUGUUAUAAAAUAUUUUCAUGUGUUUCAGUCUAUAGUGGUGGUCAUAUGAACUUAUAAUAUUAAUCGGUUUUACCAAUCCAGAACUGAAGACAUUUGUGCUCUCUGUCAGUCUCCAAAAAUUUACGAUAAUCUAUUUAAUACCACACUUACCAUCACGGCUGCAUCAAGGUUAGAGCUUUAGUAAUUACCUUUGCAGGACAAGAGAGUUGAGGCAUACUUGAUUCAUAUGGUUUCAUGAUUCAUAAGAGGAUGUGUUUGCAUGUGCAGCACAAUAAUCUCAAACCACAUAGAUUUAUGAUUCAAUAUUGUUUAUUCUCUGUUUCUCCACAUGUUAAUCUGCCAAGUGAUUUUUAAUCUUCUCAUUUUAGUGUCUUUUCAUGUUAUGUACGACUUCAUCUCUUAGGAUUUGCUUCUCAAUCCAAGUAUCAUGUUAUGUGCCUUUUGUAUUCCAGUCUCAGGGUUAAGCUAUUCCAAAGUUAUGAUACU